rnacentral:rRNA from 1 species
AACGAACGCUGGCGGCAUGCCUAACACAUGCAAGUCGAACGAGACCUUCGGGUCUAGUGGCGCACGGGUGCGUAACGCGUGGGAACCUGCCCUUAGGUUCGGAAGAACUCCCCGAAAGGGGUGCUAAUACCGGAUAAUGUCUUCGGACCAUAGAUUUAUCGCCUUUGGAUGGGCCCGCGUUGGAUUAGCUAGUUGGUAGGGUAAAAGCCUACAAAGGCGACGAUCCAUAGCUGGUCUGAGAGGAUGAGCAGCCACACUGGAACUGAGACACGGCCCAGACUCAUACGGGAGGCAGCAGUGGGGAAUAUUAGACAAUGGGCGAAAGCCUAAUCCAGCAAUGCCUCGUGAGUGAUGAAGGCCUUAGGGUUGUAAAGCUCUUUUAACCGGGAGGAUAAUGACAGUACCGGGAGAAUAAGCCCCGGCUAACUCCGGG